rnacentral:rRNA from 1 species
GCUUACGGCCACACCGCCUGGUUCACGCCCGAUCUCGUUUGAUCUCGGAAGCUAUGAUAGGGUGGGCCUGGUUAGUACUUCGAUGGGAGACCGCCUGGGAAUACCAGGUGCUGUAAGAU